UGGGAACUUGAAACCUGAGACUUCCAGAA
rnacentral:piRNA from 3 species